CUUGGUAUUGCUAUCAUUAUUAUUACGUCUAAUAAACACCAUGUCUGUUUAUGGAACUGUAUAAAAGGUAACACCAGUAUAUAGAAAAUGUUGAUUCAGGGAUUUCCCCAUGAGAUCGUGAAUAGGUAAUCAGCUGGACAACGGCUUUCUCCUCAAGGCCUAGCUUCCAAAGGAUGGGUCCGUCCUGAGGGUUGGCAAAUACCAAGAGUGGCAGGUAAUGCAGCCAUAGAACAAGAGCUACUGCAGUUUUCAAAUUGUGCUCCCAGGAUUUGGGAAAACAGGGCCAGCUCUCUCUCAGCCCUCUAAAAGGACCUGCUUGUACUGUGUUAAGAGAGCUGUACUUAGAAAGAGGAGAACAAGGUUUGUUCAUAAUGAGC